rnacentral:rRNA from 1 species
UACGUAGGUGGCAAGCGUUAUCCGGAUUUACUGGGUGUAAAGGGCGUGUAGGCGGGGAAGCAAGUCAGAUGUGAAAACCACGGGCUCAACCCGUGGCCUGCAUUUGAAACUGUUUUUCUUGAGUGCUGGAGAGGCAAUCGGAAUUCCGUGUGUAGCGGUGAAAUGCGUAGAUAUACGGAGGAACACCAGUGGCGAAGGCGGAUUGCUGGACAGUAUCUGACGCUGAGGCGCGAAAGCGUGGGGAGCAAACAGG